rnacentral:rRNA from 1 species
UACGAAGGGUGCAAACGUUGCUCGGAAUUAUUGGGCGUAAAGCGCACGUAGGCGGCUUGGCAAGUCGGAUGUGAAAUCCCUCGGCUCAACCAAGGAAGUGCAUCCGAAACUGCCGAGCUUGAGUACUUAAGAGGAUCGCGGAAUUCCCGGUGUAGAGGUGAAAUUCGUAGAUAUCGGGAGGAACACCAGUGGCGAAGGCGGCGAUCUGGAAGAUACUGACGCUGAGGUGACGAAAGCGUGGGAGCAACAGG